AUUGGACAGGCAGUAGAGAUCUACUGGAAACAGUGGAGAGGGAGGAGAUGAUAUGCAGCAUACGGCCCAGCCGGAUGGUUGCUGCUCCGUGUGGAACGUGUCCUAUCAGGUGUAACAUCUACCAAUGGUUGUACAUGACAGAGACCUCCUCCGCCUCUUUGCUGUCUUACUAGUCAAUCCUUCUGAUCAGGUCCUUUCCUAAAUAGUGAAAGGAUCAUGCCAGCCCACAUCAAACACCUGAUCAAGAGCUCGUGAACCUCACUGCUGC